rnacentral:rRNA from 1 species
CCACAUCACGAAAAGUGAGCUGUACUAGAAGUCGCCAAGCUGACCGCAAGGAGGCAGGCGCCCAAGGUAUGACUCAUGAUUGGGGUG